rnacentral:rRNA from 1 species
UACCAGCACCCCGAGUGGUCGGGACGAUUAUUGGGCCUAAAGCAUCCGUAGCCGGCCUUACAAGUCCUCCGUUAAAUCCAGCUGCUUAACAGAUGGGCUGCGGAGGAAACUAUAAGACUAGGAGGCAGGAGAGGCAAGCGGUACUCAGUGGGUAGGGGUAAAAUCCGUUGAUCCAUUGAAGACCACCAGUGGCGAAGGCGGCUUGCCAGAAUGCGCUCGACGGUGAGGGAUGAAAGCUGGGGGAGCAAACCGG